GACGAACGCUGGCGGCGUGCCUAAUACAUGCAAGUAGAACGCACAGUUUAUACCGUAGCUUGCUCCACCAUAAACUGUGAGUUGCGAACGGGUGAGUAACGCGUAGGUAACCUGCCUGGUAGCGGGGGAUAACUAUUGGAAACGAUAGCUAAUACCGCAUAAUAUUAAUUAUUGCAUGAUAAUUGAUUGAAAGAUGCAAUUGCAUCACUACCAGAUGGACCUGCGUUGUAUUAGCUAGUAGGUGAGGUAACGGCUCACCUAGGCGACGAUACAUAGCCGACCUGAGAGGGUGAUCGGCCACACUGGGACUGAGACACGGCCCAGACUCCUACGGGAGGCAGCAGUAGGGAAUCUUCGGCAAUGGACGAAAGUCUGACCGAGCAACGCCGCGGGAGUGAAGAAGGGUUUCGGAUCGUAAAGCUCUGUUGUAAGAGAAGAACGGGCGUGAGAGUGGAAAGUUCACACUGUGACGGUAUCUUACCAGAAAGGGACGGCUAACUACGUG
rnacentral:rRNA from 1 species